AAUUAUUAUAAUGGUAAUCUAAUUAUUGUGAUGAUCCAACUACUGACAUUCAUUACACAGAUAGAGCCUUUCCAACUAGUACAUGAUUAAACCACACCAAAGAACGAAGUUGGGUCACAUUCACAUGCGACNNNNNUCCAUUAACAACUAGUGCUCCACCACUAAGAUAUAUUGAUGAUCAUACCCACACCAAAUUUAAUCAUACAUAAAAUGACUCUCUAAUUAAUCUUUCCAUGCACAGCA
rnacentral:misc_RNA from 1 species